UCGGCGACGGCCGGCGGCCGCUCAGCUCUCCCCGCUCUGUCUUCGGCGACGUGCCGGCGGCCGCUCAGCUCUCCCCGCUCUGUCUUCGGCGACGUGCCGGCGGCCGCUCAGCUCUCCCCGCUCUGUCUUCGGCGACGUGCCGGCGGCCGCUCAGCUCUCCCCGCUCUGUCUUCGGCGACGCGCCGGCGGCCGCUCAGCUCUCCCCGCUCUGUCUUCGGCGACGUGCCGGCGGCCGCUCAGCUCUCCCCGCUCUGUCUUCGGCGACGUGCCGGCGGCCGCUCAGCUCUCCCCGCUCUGUCUUCGGCGACGUGCCGGCGGCAUCUCUUCUUCUUCUUCUUCUUUUUUGCUUCCCUAGAGCUGGCCCUGGGCGUGCACAAUCCAAAAAGUUUGGAGACCCCUGGUUUAGAUUAUAAGCACUUUGGGGCAAGGACUGUACAGUCCUUAACACAAUGGGUCCCUGGUCUUGACUGUGGCUUCUAGAUGCUACUGUAAUAGAAAUAAUAACAUGGGAGAAUAUAAAGCUCUAUAGAUCAACUUGAUUUACAUUCAUAAUAAUACUUCUCUUCGUACCUAGUUUUUGGUCUUCAGAAUGUCGAUCAGACGAGCUACUUCAGUAACGUAGCAGUCCCUAUGUUAAAAUAACGGGCCAUGUCCUCAGCUCGUAUAAAAUCAGCUAAUGCUCUAUGGAAGCCAAGGGACGUUCACCGACUUACACUAAGGGCAUGGUUACACUUGCAGAUGUAGAGCACUGUGAGUUAAACCCGCUUUCGUAGAGCGCAUUAGGGAAAGCGCUGCAGUCUGUCCACACUGACAGCUGCAAGCACACUGGCGUGGCCACAUUUGAGGCACUUGCAGAGGCAUUGGGAGUGGUGCAUUGUGGGCAGCUAUCCCACAGAGCACCUCUUCCCAAUCUGGCACUGUGAUUGUGGGAAGGGGGCGGGGGGUGCGGGACAUUCUGGAUCCCGUCCCAACGCCCUGUGAUGCACUGAUUCACAUCCCAGCAUUCCCUUUGCUUACGUCCACAUUUGGUUCCAUCUUUCAAUGAUUUUUGUACUGCAUGCUCUGUCUUCCCUGUCAGUCUGCGGGAAUGGAGCCCGAACUGCUGAGGAAUAUGCUGACAAGUCUCGCCAGCGCGUCACGUUUGGCAGUCGAAUUAUUCCUUAAGAUCCAAAGUGACAGUGAGGACUCCGACGAUGAUAUCGACUCGAGUAACGCAAACAGCACGAGUUUGCUUGUGGCAUUCAUGGGCAUGCUCGCCACCGUGAAACGCCGCUUUUGGGUUUGGGAAACAAGCACUCAGUGGUGGGAUCACAACGUCAUGCAAGUCUCGGAUGAGAGCAGUGGCUGCUGAACUUUCGGAUGAGGAAAGCCACUUUCAUGGGACUGUGUGAGGAGCUCGUCCCCACCCUUCGGUGUAAGACACGAGAUUGAGAACUGCCCUGACUGUGGAGAAGCAGGUGGCUAUUGCAAUCUGGAAGCUGGCAACUCCAGACAGCUACCGAUCGGUCGCUAACCAGUUUGGAGUGGGGAAGUCGACCAUUGGAAUCGUGUUGAUGCUCAGAAGAACUGUGACUCCGGGUAACAUGCAUGACAUUGUGGCUGGCUUUGCACAAAUGGGUUUCCCUAACUGCGGAGGGGCGAUAGAUGGGAUGCAUAUUCCAAUUCUGGCACCAUCCCAUCUAGCCUCCGAGUACGUUAAUCAGAAGGGCUAUUUCUCUAUGGUUUUCCAGGCGCUUGUGGAUCACCGUGGGCAUUUCAUUGACAUUAACGCAGGCUGGCCCGGAAAGGUGCAUGAUGCACUUUCAUAACUCUAGCUUAUUCAGGAAGCUGCAAGCUGGGACUGUUUUUCCCAGACCAGAAGAUCACCAUAGGGGAAGUCAAAAUCCCCACUGUGAUCCUUGGAGAUCCCGCUUACCCUUUGAUGCUGUGGCUCAUGAAACCCUACACAGGAAGCCUUGACAGCAGCAAGGAGCGGUUCAACAACAGGCUGAGCCAGUGCAGAAUGACUGUGGAGUGUGCUUUUGGCUGUUUAAAGGGUCACUGGCAUUCUCUGUAUGGGAAGCUGGGCCUGGCCAAUAACAGCAUCCCUGCGGUUAUAUCCAUGUGCUGUACCCUCCAUAACAUUUGUGAAGGAAAAGGUGAAAGAGUCACCCAGGCAUGGAACUUGGAGGUUCAACACUGGAGGCUGAAUUUGAACAGCAAGAGAGCAGGGCUAUUAGAGGGGCCCAGUGUGGGUGUUGGAGGCAGCAGGUGGCGGUAAGAACCCGGAUGUUGGGGAAAGUGGUUUGGAGGUGACAUGGUGGCACAAAGAUGGAAAGAGUUUUGGGACAAGGGCUGCAGGACGGGACGGGCACGGUAGUGCUCUGCCUGCAUGGCUAUGAGCGCCUGGAUCGAGUCUGCUUGGCGCUCCAUGAUGCUUAUCAGCUGCUCUGUGCUUUGGUGCCGGCGAUCCGCAUUCUGCUGGCAGACCCUCCUUUCACUCUCCCACCACUCCUGCGCUUUUUUAUUUUCAUUAGUUGAAUGCUACAUGACUUCAUGUAGCGUGUCCUCUUUGCUUCUACGUGGCCUCUUCCUGAUUCUUUGCAGCCUCUCGGCCGUUGAUAACACGGAGGGCUGAGAUCUCAAGAUUGCAUCUGUAAAGGCAAAAUGCAACACUUAACAGUGGCAGCAUUGUUCACACCAGACAGAGCAAUGAUUCCCCCGUACUCAAGGGCAAGCACAGUCUACCCAAUAGCAUAAUUUGCCUGUCCCAAAGCGAGCGCACAUAACCCACGGGAGCCCCAAAAUGGUGAGUAAGCACAGGGUCAAGCCUGACUGAUUGUUUCACGGCUGUGAUGGCCUCUGGGUUUCUGUGCUUUGGGGAGAGCCAACAGCAGCAGGCCACUGUACUGAACACUGUCCCCACAUUUUCCACAGGAGUUCGUCCUGGAAGAUAUCUCGCUGCUGAGGGUGACCAGGGAAACAAGGGAGGGUCUUCUACUGCAAUGCGGCUUCCGCCCUGGCCCAUAUGCAGCUUGCCUGUGUGCAGCAAUGGUCUCCCUGCCCCUUAUGGCACAGUGGCACAGACACGUUAGCCUUACUGGGACGAGGACCACAGUGGCUCUCCCGAAAAACCUGCGCAAGCGCAUUGCCCAAGUUCUGGCUGAGACCUUUGAAGAGAUCACUGAGGCCGAUUACCGUGAUGUGAGAGAGCACAUCAAUGCCCUGUUCCUCAUCCAGGCAUGCAUGCGGCCCCAACCCUCCUCGCCCCAAGAGCCCGCACCGAAUAACUUCCUUCCCAAAAUAGAAGCCGCUUACCGGGAACCUCCUCUGGUGUUUGUCCUUCCCCAAGCACUGGUUGCCGCGACUGGCUACCUUCCUCCUGGCUUGAGAACAGCUCCUGGCUGCAUGCAUCUAGGGAUGCCGUGGUGUCUUCCUCCGCCGGAGCACCUUCGCUCCUGCUUUGCUGCUGCUCCUCCUCCGCCUCCUGCCUUGUUGCACUAGCCUCUGAGGUGUCCAUGGUGGUACUCGGCAUGGAGGUGGGGUCGCCCCCAAGUAUCGCGUCCAGCUCUUUGUAGAAAUGGCAGGUCGCGGGGGCAGCACCGGAACGGCGGUUUGCCUCGCGGGCUUUGCGGUAGGCAUUCUGCAGCUCCUUCACUUUAACCCUGCACUGCAGUGCGUCCCGGUCAUGGCCCCUUUCCAGCAUGGCCCUUGAUAUCUUCCUGAAGGUAUCGUAAUUCCUGCGGCUGGAGCGCAGCUGGGACCGGACAGCUUCCUCUCGCCAAACACUGAUGAGGUCCAGCACCUCGCCAUUGCUCCAUACUGGGCAUUGCCUGGCGCGUGGAGGCCUGGAAAGAUUCUCUGAGAGCACUCCAAGCUUGGCUGAGCAAACAGGAAGGGGAUUUUCAAAAUUCCCAGAGAAUUUAAAGGGCGGGUCUGACGGUUGGUCACCUGAGGGCGGGCAGUAGAGUUCAAAGUGAUGACCAGAGUGGCUAGAACAGGCAUUGUGGGACACUUCUGGAGGCUGAUCAGAGCGCAAUAACAGACCAGGGCGUCCACACUGGUGCCGCAGCGCUCCAGCGGGGGUACAUCAAACACUGUUCCACUCACCGAGGUGGAGUACCAGCAGUGCUGUAGCCACGGAGACAGAGUGCUCUACGUGCCUUGCCAGUGUGGACGGGUAGUGAGCUAGGGCGCCCGGGGCUCCUUUAGUGCGUUGUAACUCGCAAGCGUAGCCAAGCCCUAAGUGAGCAUGUGAUUAAAUAUUUACACAUUCGAUAAAUCAUCAGCAGCAGAUUUUUCAUAGCGCUGGUUAAAAUGUCACCUUUACAUCCCUUAUCAGAUCAUCAUUGAAGUAUAGGGCUGGAAGGGACCUCAGGAGGUCCUUAGUCCAGCAUCCUGUGCUGAGGCAGGAUCAAGUAAACCUAGACCAUCCCUGGCAGGUGUUUGACCAACCUGUUCUUAAAAAGCUCCAAAGAUGGGGAUUCCACAAACUCCUUUUGCAGCCUGUUUAAGAACUAAUAGGUAUAUAGCUUUCCCUAAUAUCUAACUUAAAUCUACUUUGCUGCAGAGUAAGCUCACUAAUUCUUGUUCUACCAUCAGUGGACAUGGAGAACAAUUGGUCAUCAUCCUCUUUAUAACAGCCCUUAACAUAUUGGAAGAAGACUAUUAUCAUGAGCCCCCUUAGUCUUCUUUUCUCAAGACUACACAUGCCCAGGUUCUUUUGUAACUUUUCCCCCUAGGUCCUUUUAUCAUUUUUGUUGGUCUCCUCUCUUCUCUCUCAAAUUUGUCCACAUCUUUCUUAAAGUGUAGCACCCAGAAUUGAAUCCAGUGCUCUAGCAUCCUCAGUGCCAAGUAGAAUGGGACAGUUACCUCCCGUGUCUUACAGACAACAUUCCUGUUAAUGCACCCCAGACUGAUGUUAGCCUUUUUUGCAGCUGCAUCAUUGUAAUCCUAAGUACUCCUGUAGUCACAUCUUACACACUACUGCAAUGAUAUUUAUCCAAAAUACGCCUUGUAAGAAAUAAUUUAAAAACAAAAAGCACACUGGUCAAUAAUAUCAUUGUAAGAUGCAUGUGUUAACCUUAUACGUGAAGUUAUGAAUUCCCUCUGUAUAAUGUUGCUAGAAUAGGUUCAAGAAGAUAGCCUAGCCUAGUUAGAGGUGAGAAACAGGUCUGUCCUGGACAAAGGAAUAUGGUUUAUGUUAAUUUACAUAUUAGCUGUAAACAAAGCUAUCAAGCAACCUAGCAGAGCUUGAGCCUGAAUUCAAGAGACAGAGAAUUAACAUGGCUCCUGUGCCUUGGAGAGACACUGGAGACUGAAUCCUCAGGAGGCCUUCCUAACUUUGAGAACAAAGGCCAUAUCUAUCUGCUGCAGCGUGUCUGGUGAAGACGCUCUCUCCUGUUGGCAUAACACCCCCCCUCUCCCCCCAGUGCGGCAGAAUCUAUGCUUCUCCCGCCAACAUAGUGUGUACGUAUGUGUAACUUAUGUCACUCAGGGGGAUGGUUUAUUCCCUCUUUUUGUAGAAUUCCUUUGGGAUGUUCAGGUAGUUAAGGAACUCCUGAUGGAGCCAUAUUGGCCUCUUACUUUUCUUCGUAUCUUUCAUUUGCAUUAGAAAAAUUGGCAGAUGUGCAUUCAGUUUGUCUCCUUGAGACACUGCCAGCUCUCCUGAACUCCUUUAUCCUUUAGAUUUUCUUCUCAUGGGAUCUUAGUUCUGAGUUAAACCCUUUUAAAAGUUAUUAUGCAUCUGGCUCAAUGAUAAAUAUGCAUGGUGAUUAACAGACAAAUAAGAGACCAGGAGUCAAAUUCUUCACUACCUUAUGCCUUGUGUGGUCACUUACACCAGUGUAAAGUAAGUGCAAAAUGUGUGUAACACGCUACAAAUCAGAAUGUUAGCACUUUGCAUUAGUGUAAAAUACUACUCAAGGUGCAAGAUGACAAUGAAUUGGACACCUCGGGCCAGAUCCUUAAUUGGUAUAAAUCUGAAUUCAGUGGAGAUACACUGACUUACACCAGCUGAGGAUUUGGCUCCUGGCUUCAAUUUAAGGGCCUGAUUUUCCGCAGAGUUAUGUUGAUGGGUGUACUGACUCCUGUUUGGAGUCCCAUUGGCUACUGGUGAGUCAAUGCAAGCAUGCUACAAUGGUGGUAAAAGUUCUCACUCCGAAGAAGUCUUUCCCCACUGACUGCUGCCCAACUCUAUAUUUGCAAAGAUCUCACUGGCCCUUCCCAGCCUCCUCUUCCUUGUUCAAUCAGCCCCAAAAGAACUGGAGCAAUUAGCAGAUCACAUUGACUAGUCAAGAAGGAAAAUCUGUUAUUUUUAAAUCCAGUAAGUGCAAGAAAAAACAGCAUGAGGUCUUCAGGUAUUAGAUCACUUCUAUAGACCUACUUAAAUGCAUGGUGUUCUUCUAGUGAAUGAGUGAAGACAUCAAUGCAAUUGCAGUACAAGGUAACCACAGGUCCCUGCUUUCAGGGAAUAAAUAGUGGGAGGGUGUGUUUGCAUAUACAAGUUGUACUGAUUUAAAUCUACUGGAUAGUUAAAGUGAAACAACCCCGUAGCGUGGAUGCAGUUGUACCAGUAUAACUUAUUCUUGUCCAAGCAUGAGAAUAAGCUAUUCUGGUAUAAGGCAUCUUUAUACUGGUGUAAUUGCAUCCACAUUGUAGAUUAUACUGGUGUAACUAUAUUAGUAAAAAAGAAAAACAUUCUCCUAACUAACGUAGUUCUACAGGUACAAUUGUCAAGUACAGACCAGGCCUCACUUAGGGUUUGUUGGUACACAAAUUUGCACCAAGGUUUUUAAAAUUGAUUUAGUUAAACCACUGCAAAUGACUAUGUGGACACUUUAAAAUCAUUAUAAACCUCAUUUACAUAUAAUCAAUUAGGACUAGAUUUAAACUAAACUGAAAUCAGAGAGUCUAUACAUGGUUUUGCACUAGUUUAACUCAAUCAGUUUAAAAGCUGAUUUAGGUUAAAUCAGUCCAACUUCUAUGUGUUGACAAGGCCUGAGAUCCAGUUGGAAAACAGGGGAGAAUUGUUAAUGUAAAAAAAAUUUUGUUUGGAGGAAAUUUCAAAGGUUUCUCAUUAGCUGUGGUCUGACUGUUUAUCUUUUCAGGAGAUGACACUUCUCCUGCUGGGAAUUCAAAAGGAGGAGAACUGGAUUCUCUUUGGGGUGUGUGUGUGUGAGAGAGAGAGAGAGAGAGAGAGAGUUAAAAGAACAGCUGCAGUUUAUUUGUCAGAGACAUGAGGUUUUGCUUUCCUCACAGAUGAGGAAUACCAGAUGGAUCUUAUAGUGGAGUUCUCCUGUUAAAUGAGGACAGAGUAAUCUAGUCAGGGGAGGUGACCGGUCUUGGUACGCCUGGAAUGCUGGUGGGAAGAGCCCUCUGCGUGGAGGCUGCACAACUCCAUCUGCUUUUAUUUAUUUAUUCCUUUCAUAUUCAGUUUUUGUUGUUGUUGUCUUUGUCUGGACGGCCCUCUAGGCGUUUUGAGCAUGGGCGGUGCCCCUUCCUCUUCAUGCUGAGAUGAUUCUCUCCCUCCAACUGGGAGUGUAGAAUGCUCCUUCUUGCACUUUGCGUAUUGCAGCCUGCAGUGUUGAGUAACACCAGGGGUUGGUAUGUCACCCAUUCCCCAGGACACCAGCCACAUUGCCACUGACACCCAUUGAGUCUGGGGAGGGAGCCAAGUCCCAGACUCACGUCCUGCUUGGCACUGCAAUUUGGUGCUACCACGCCUUCAGUAUGGCUCCAGUUUGCUGCUGGAUUUGUUUGUUUGCAUUUUAUCUUUAUUUGCCUACCCCAAAGAAGACAAGUCACUUGAGGAAACUGUUGAGUUUCUCCUGCUCCAUUGUCACUGAUUUGCUUGGGACUCUUUCCAUUAACUUCAGUGGGAGUUGGAUCUAGAUCUCAGACCAUUAAGACCAUAGUCAGUACACUCCCAGUAACUAUCUGCAGCAAUCUACUCAAUGUAGUACAGGGACAAGGGGGAAGGAUUGUGGUGUGGUAAGUGUGAUACAGGCAGGCCAGGUGCCACCUCAUGCCAAGGCCCCAAGGUCUCACUGAACGCUGACAAAUGCAUAGCGGGAAACCCGGGUGGCUCAACCUAUGUGUUAGCUUUGUUAAGUUGAUAAGAAUGUGUUUAGUGUUUAGACUUGAUAAAAUGUUUGUAGGAUGCUGCAUGUAUUGAUCUCACUUAUAACAUCUGUAGCCCAUGGUCUAAAAUUAUACUGAGCGUUUGCAUGGUAAACCUCUGUAAUUGUGUAACUCACCAAACAGGAAAGAAGCAUUAAUUUGUGUAAAAUGCUUGUCCUGCACACAAGAAGGCCCACUGAAACCCAAUGAGCCAUUGUGAAACGUCAAAGGACCAAGACUUUGUAGAUUGCCCCCCACCCCCACCCCCAAUGAAGAGGUGAUGGGCACUGACGCUUUGGGGGAAGGGAAUAAAAAUGCCUGACCCAAAGGAACUGCUGCUUGGAAUUUGGAGAGGCCAAUAUUUCUAAGCAUAAGCAAGGGAUCCCCAAGGUGCUUAGUUUGGGUGAGCCCUAAAGGGCGUAUAGAGCUUGUAUAUAGAACAGCUACUAUCACGUUUCGGAAUCUAAGACUAUAACUUAUUUGUGUGUGUAUGUUUACCUGCUUUAACUUUGUAAAUAACUCUCAUUUCUUUUUCCUAGUUAAUAAACCUUUAGUUAGUGUGUUACAAGAGUGGCUACAAGUGUUGUCUUUGGUGAGAGAUCUAAGGUACAAUUGACCUGGGGAUUCCUUACCGAUGACUAAGUGAUCAUCCUGGGUCUGCCAAGCCUACGGGUUUUCCCCACAGACUACCAGCUUUUUGGCCCCUGCUACAGGGAAAUCCCAAGAAUCUACACAUCAGAUCCUCGGCCCCAGAUGUCUUGCCGAGUCACUUGCCCUGACCUUUAGCCAUGGAGGAGCUAAAAUCGAACAAAAUACUGUAGUAAAGUGAUAUCAAGUGGGAAAUGCAAGACAGCCAAGGAAUCCACAGUUAAGGCUGAAACUCUCAUCUUACUCCUAACACAUCAGGGGUGGAGGUGAAAGAGAGGUCAAACUGUGCCCAUUGACCUUUGCCCUCUGACCUCGGUGAACUGAAGGAAAGCCUUUGAAGUAGUGAAGUGCCCACGAAAAAAAGAAAACCAAACAAGUUGCUGGCUUUUCCCUUUUUCCAUAUGAACUGGCAGCUGCUUAAUGGAAGGUGACACUGCUAUGGUGGGCUGGAUGGGGGACCCCAUGCAUUGUUCCCCCCCACCCUUUCCUCAGCAUGGAGUUAAUUGGCAUUGCAAAAAGCCCACCCACUCAAAGAGAGGGGUGGGAGAAUGGAGGAGGCAUAUGAGAAAACAAUCUUCAUCCCCCAUGACUGUCGCUCACUAUGGCACUCAGUUUCUAUAUCUUCCCCACCUCUGACCCACUCCCCGUGUGUGGGAGCCUCCAAUAAACAUCUCAUUUUUUAAAUGAGAGAGUCCCCACACACAGGGAGUGGAUGAGAGGUGGGAGGUGGAGAUGGGGAAGAUUUAGGCUUAUGAUAGCUAGAGCUGGAAAAGACCUGCUUAGAUCAAUGAGCCCUUUCCCCUGAAGAAUUGAGAGGACGUGGCAGCUGUUACACGCGUUGCUGCUGUCACAUGCAUGACCCCUGCUGGCAGUUUGGGAAAAGACAGCUUUUUUAUUGAAGACACCCAUCCUUCUCUUAACCUCCCUAUUAUAACAUGCUCCAUGGUACAAAGAUCUAGGACUGUGACUCUUAAAGCGCACAAUAGACCUUAUCAUUCUUAGAAAUAUAGGCAAAAGGACUUGGCAAAAUACACACCCUUCUCACAAUAUUUUGCCCAUCUCUAGAACUGAACCCAAACCAAAUUUUGUCAUGUUUGAAAUUAUUAUUGAAUAUAUAGUGUGGUAGCCUCAACCUGAGCAUGGCCUCAUUGUGCUAGGUGCUGUACAAACAUUUAAUAAGAGACAGUUAUCUUCAACUGUAACAAAUCUAUGGGAGGGCUGGGUAACAGUCAUAGAGACUCGUUUUUGCAUAGUUUGUCUAUGUGCAUGGCCGUAGCAUAGCUAUGUGCAAUUUGUAGGUACUGAAGUUAUUUAGUUUGCUUGCUUGUGGGUAGAUUUUGAGGUGAUAGAUAAAUAAUCAUGUUAGUGGCAGUAUUCUCAGCUCCCCUCUUGCCUAGUCCGUAUCAGCUGGUUCCGUAGACAUCAAAGUAGGAAUCUUGUGACGGGAUUUGGUGGAGACAAUAGUGGGUAUUCCACACAUGUAAGGUGAAGACAUUAGGUGAGUUUUCUCCCCCCUCCCUGCCAACAUACUCAAUACACUAUCUGCCCCUCAGGGGAAAGGAAGCAGGGUAAGCCCCAGCAUUACCCCACACUAAUCUUUUUUGCUAUCUUCUUACGGGAGGAGGGAGUCUUUGCAGCUAGCUAUGCCUCUCCAGGUUUCUUAGGGGCCAGUGACAAAUGUUUCCCAUCUGAAGUCCAUUGUUGCUGGUGACACACAGGGGUGCUGGUAAGAGACUGGUCUUUAUUUCCUAGCCUCAGUCAAUUGACAUAAAUCAGGGUAAUGGAUGUUUAAUAUCCCUUGCAUGGGGCCAGUCUCCUUUAACUCCAGUAGUGACUGUUACAUUUCAGCAAUAAUGAAAUGCAAAUAAAACAUAAUGUCAACUAAAUAUGACAACCAGUCAUGAAUACUGUCAAUUAAUAGGCACACUAAUAAGAACAUGUAGGGAUGAGGGCGGGGGCAGACAAUCAGAACCUCCUGCCUCUUAUUGGGCAUUGGUCAAUAGCUACUAACUGUGAACCUCAUUGUUUUUCUACUCACACAGUCUCUUUGUAUUCUCCAAACAAUACCUUCUGCAAUGGCUUGUUUGGCUGCUGAAUUGGGUCUGCCACCUGGAGCCUAUGUUUGCUGCAUCUGAUGUUUACCAUUGUCAGUGACUGUGUGUGGGUUACUUCUGCCAGCGCCCAAGCACUGUCUGUAGUAUUCUGGAUGUCCUCCAGAAACAGAGUCAAUGUUAUCCUUGGUUAUAGGUAGAUGUCUUCUGUUCUUCAUGUAGGUGGCUGAUUAUGAUACUACAUAAGCUUAGUGCUAUUACUCUGGCAGGUGGCUAGUCACUUUCUGUUUGGAAUCUAAAAUUCUCUCUUUCUGACGCAUCGUUUAAGUUUUAUGCUAAUUCUAAUUUGACUCCACCUAGUAAUCCUGAUGUGGUGUACUGGAUAUAUCAAAUGAAAUUGCUGCAAUGAGCCACUUGUGAGCUUACCUGCCGUUAACUCAUCUGGAAUACAGUAGCUAACAAACUGUGAUUUACAGUGCUGUACCUUGCUACCUGAUGUAUUUUGCAAUAGCUCAGUUUAGAAAACGAGCAAACAAACUCAAACCUGAGUAUUAAUCCCUUAAUAAGGGGCAAGCAUUCCCAUUUAAUUCAAAUAGAUUUGCACCUGCCUUGAACUGAAAGCAAUCAAGAAUUGCAUGUGGGUUCUGCAAUCUGUUUCCUGUGUUUAAUAGUUUUCACACUUGGGUACCUUGAGUGAAAUCCUGGCCCUAGUGAAGUCCCAGGAGCCAGGAGGUCACUCAUCAUCUCCAGCGGCGGGAUCUGUAAAUGUGCCAAAUAGAACUUCUCAGGCUCUGUUCUUACACAUCUCAAUGCACACGUAGGCACUGUGGGUUAUAUUUAGCAUUUCUGACCUCAUGAUAAUAUGACACAAUGUCGAUUGUACAGAACCGUAUUCUGUGUGGCUGUUUCAUCUCUGUAGCCCCAAUACGUUUUCAUGCUUGCAGAUUAUUGGGCUUUUUUUCUGAUGGCCAUCUAUCUAGAAUGUAAUACCAAUGAAUAAUUAUAGUAUUUUAUAACAGUAGCACCUAGAAGCCCCUGUACCUCCAAAACUGAAAAUGCCCUUGUUGUUAGAAGCCUAGACAUGACCUCUGAUUUAUUUGAUGGCUUUAUUUAAAUCAUUUGGAUCGAUAUACAUAUGUAACUUGUUUUUUCCCCCAUUGACCAUACCAUUAAUCUCGUCUGUAGAGAACAUCUAAUUUUACCAUAACGUCCAGUUAGCGUUUGCUUUCUCUCUCAGUGCUCAAGGGACUUCAUGUGGUGGAUGUAUUUUUGGUGGCAGACGGGGUUCUAAAGCAAUAUGAUCUGUUUUAUCCUUAAUGCAUUCUACCCCUUUACACACACAUGAUCAAAUUCCUUUAGAGUACCGUUUGCAGCCUGCUCAGUAGACAGCUUAUGCGCUCACUUGAUCAUUAUCAUUUGCACUUUGGACCAAACACACAUGAGAGCUUCCUAUUCCACUAUUUCCAAGUCUGCUGAGUCUACAGGUAAAACCAGGGUAGCUUUGCCUUAUAGGCUCAUUUUGUGCCAGCUGAAUGAAACAAGCUUAGUUUUCAAUUUUAACAUUGGAUGGUCUUACUGUGGUUACAUUUUACUCAUAUCCAAGCUCUUCUUUGAAUAUUCACUUUUGUUUGUUUAUUCUUCGUUUCUCAGACUGGCCUGUUGUAGAACCUUGUUUCUUAAAUUUAUUGAGACCCAACAAAGAAUGGCAUGCCUGUCUCCUGAUCAUAAUCAGAGCCUUGUCAUCCAUCUGCAAGUUGAUUAAUAAAUUUUUCUUUUGUAUUUCUUUGCAGUUUGUACAGUGAGCAACAUACUUGUGCUCAUUAUUUUAAUGAAUGCACAACCCAGCAUCCCCUGUGGAGUGCACCUUUGUGUUGUGUUAUGAUUAGAGCUGGGAAGUUAUUUUUGGCUAAAAAAUCCAAUUUCAAGUCAUCACAAAUUGUGCAAAUUUGGGUUGAAUCUGACAAAUUGUUUCAGAUGAAAAAAUGGGAAUUUUUGUAGACGUUUUCGAAACAAAACUUUUUGGCUUUUUGUUUAAAAAAAAGUAGCUAUACUUAACUAACUUCACCCUCUCUCCCAAAAAAGGGUUAAAAAAAAUCUGAAAAGGAAACGUUUUGUUCAACCUGAAACUAAGUGUUAUCGAUUUUUUUGCUUCAGUGAGAAAAAAGCAAAAAACUGUCAUUUCACAGUGACCCCAAAUUAGCCAUUUACCAGAUUUUUUUGGUACAGCCACUGAACCAAAGAAUCACUUGUUUGCUCAGCUCUAAUUACAAAUGUCUCCACAGUGAGUGCAAGAGGAUUUGGUCUUUGCUGUAUGUUUACUCAUGUCUUCUGACUUUGUGCCUUUGGUGUGCAUUUUUAAGUUGCUGCACUUAGGUUCUUUCAUUGCUUGCUGAUAUUUUCAUUUGGGAAGCACAGUUCUUACUAGCCCUGCAAAUAGACACUGUUCAU